UGAGACAAUGAUAAAAAUCAAUUUUGAAAAUGACAAAUUAAUGUCACCUGUCUCCGCUACAUCAUCCACAACAAUGAGUUAAUCAUUUGAAGUUCACUAACCAGAGAGACUAAUGCAUGAUCCAAAAAAGACAUCAAACUAAGUAAACUAACAUUUAUCAGCAGCACAAUGGGAUCAAAUACAAAUAAUUUUGAUGGCUUAAUAGCAGGAGAUGGUGCAACGAAUGAUCCUCAUGGGUGAGAGAAAGAAAGACCAAAGGCAAUAGAAACAAAAUCAUUCAUGAACCACCAAAGGAAGUAAGAUAAUUCAGUAAACAAACC
rnacentral:misc_RNA from 1 species